rnacentral:rRNA from 1 species
GACGAACGCUGGCGGCGUGCCUAAUACAUGCAAGUUGAGCGCUGAAGGUUGGUACUUGUACCAACUGGAUGAGCAGCGAACGGGUGAGUAACGCGUGGGGAAUCUGCCUUUGAGCGGGGGACAACAUUUGGAAACGAAUGCUAAUACCGCAUAAAAACUUUAAACACAAGUUUUAAGUUUGAAAGAUGCACUUGCAUCACUCAAAGAUGAUCCCGCGUUGUAUUAGCUAGUUGGUGAGGUAAAGGCUCACCAAGGCGAUGAUACAUAGCCGACCUGAGAGGGUGAUCGGCCAAAGUGGGACGGAGACACGGCCCAAACUCCUACGGGAGGCAGCAGUAGGGAAUCUUCGGCAAUGGACGAAAGUCUGACCGAGCAACGCCGCGUGAGUGAAGAAGGUUUUCGGAUCGUAAAACUCUGUUGGUAGAGAAGAACGUUGGUGAGAGUGGAAAGCUCAUCAAGUGACGGUAACUACCCAGAAAGGGACGGCUAACUACGUG